GCCGGGUGUAGUGGCGCACACCUAUAAUCCCAGCUACUUGGGAGGCUGAGGCAGAAGAAUCACUUGAACCUGGGAGGCAGAGGUUGCAGUGAGCCAAGAUGGCACCACUGCACUCCAGCCUGGGUGACAGAGUGAGACCCUGUCUCAA
ensembl:misc_RNA Metazoa_SRP Metazoan signal recognition particle RNA